rnacentral:misc_RNA from 1 species
AGAAGAGUAAACAAAAUAUAAGAGAAACUGUUCAAUAAGUUCUUUUUUUGUUUAGAAGAGCACUACUGAAUCGUUAUAUUUAUCAAAAUGUAUGCUUUUUCACAGUCACCUCCUAUUGUUGAAAAUAUUUUUAAGCAUCUACGAGCCCGUGAUUUGACCAAUUGUGCUCAAGUUUGCAAACUUUGGAGUUCUAUGUCAGCAAUUGAAUUAAAACGCCGUAAAGGAAUAAGUUGGUUCUUUAAGGUAGCUGAAGUUAACGUUCAGGAUGAUGUACCAGAUUACAAUGAUGCAUGCGAGCAGUAUAUUUCAUCAUUUGAGUAUGGCUUGAAAAAACAGUUAGAGAGCUUGAGAGUUCGGCCUACUUUUUGUAUUGCCUUUGCUUCUUAUUCUUUUUUGGAGGAUUUCGAGGUAUAUUAUCCGACUUACAUAUUUGGUGAACCUGAUUUAAAGAAAUUCAAAAGAGAGAGUAAUCUUCACAAGAGAAAGUACCUUAAUUCAGUCAUGAAAAUUGCUUUGGGCUCGCAUUUACCAUCUCGUUCUACAAUAAUGUUUACAAUUGCAUCUGGUAUCAUAGGGUGUUGUUCUAAUGCAAAAGUUCCAGAAGAAGUUGAAGAUGGAUUUGCAUUGUCAGGAUUUUGCUUUCCUAACAUUCCUGGCGUUGAAAUUCAUCAUUUUCCAGUCGAUGGUCGAAAAUGUGAUCUAUCAAAUUUAGUUCCAAAAGAAACAAAAAUCAAAUGCUUAUUAGCAUUUUUAACUCCCAGAGGAACGUCUAUCAUUGAUAAACUCGUGCAAAGUUGCCUUUUUAGAGAAGAAAGUAAAGUCGCCGUGGGAGGUGCCAUCGUCGAUCGAACUCAAUCUCUCUCGGGGUCGGCCGUAGUGUUUUGUGGCAAAAAUAUUGAGGCAUCCUCAGUUAUAAUUGGCCUUAAUGAUAAAUGUGAAGAGGAGUUAAAAAAUAAACUAAAAAUAUUUCAAGAGACCGGGCUUCUCAAAAACCGAUGCUAUGCUUUCAUGUUCGCUUGCGUGGCCAGAGGAUAUUCACUGUUUGAAAAGCAUAAUUAUGAAAGUGCGAUAUUUCAUUCCAUGUACCCAGAUAUUCCAUUAAUAGGAGUUUUUGGGAACGGCGAAAUAGGUGUGAAUUAUUUUCCUCACGUAUCUCCUGAAAAUAAAGUUUUCCAGUCAGGAAAGUUUCCUAGGUGUGUUAAAAAAUAUUUACACAGUUAUACAACAGUUUUUGUACUUAUAUCUAUUGAAGAUUAAUUUUUGCUGUUUUUUGUUUUGAGUGUUUUAUAAAUAUGUUUUUAGCCAUUGUUUAAUAAAAUUGCAAAUCUUUAGCGAUUUUUAAAUCUUUACAAAAUGCUUGUUCGCAUAAGUGAACACCUUUUUAGUUUUCUUUACUUUUAUAUCAUUACAGGGCUAAGUUCAGAAAUGCAUGCCUGCCAAGUCUCCUGUUUACCCGUAUAUUCUGAAAUUUCUCCGUGUUUGUUUAAGAAAUUUUGAA